rnacentral:rRNA from 1 species
UACAGAGGGUGCGAGCGUUAAUCGGAGUUACUGGGCGUAAAGGGCGCGUAGGCGGCAUGAUAAGUUAGAUGUGAAAUCCCUGGGCUUAACCUAGGAACUGCAUCUAAGACUGUGAUGCUAGAGUAUUGUAGAGGGUAGUGGAAUUUCCGGUGUAGCGGUGAAAUGCGUAGAGAUCGGAAGGAACACCAGUGGCGAAGGCGGCUACCUGGACAAAUACUGACGCUGAGGCGCGAGAGCGUGGGGAGCAAACAGG